CCGGCGCACGGGUGAGUAACACGUAUCCAACCUGCCGUCUACUCUUGGACAGCUUCUGAAAGGAAGAUUAAUACAAGAUGGCAUCAUGAGUCCGCAUGUUCACAUGAUUAAAGGUAUUCCGGUAGACGAUGGGGAUGCGUUCCAUUAGAUAGUAGGCGGGGUAACGGCCCACCUAGUCUUCGAUGGAUAGGGGUUCUGAGAGGAAGGUCCCCCACAUUGGAACUGAGACACGGUCCAAACUCCUACGGGAGGCAGCAUG
rnacentral:rRNA from 1 species